UAUCAACCCUAUAGGCUACCAGUCUAUCAUUCAAACUGACUCAAAAAUGGAUCCUGUCUUGUUCCUUAUUAUGUGGAUGAGGAGGUUGGGCAGCAGCCCUGUCUGGCUUUAAUCCCUUGGUCUGUUUAUUAUUAAUCACAGAGAAAGCUCUACAAUUAGGGGAUGUCUUUGUUUUGCAGCCAAAUAGUGAAGACUCUGGUUUUCCCUUUGAGAAGAUGCAGUUGGUUGGGAACUGGGGUUCGUUUCAUUUCCAUACCUGGAUAAUCCGUUAUGGACGAGUGCAGCAAAACGAAGAGGACAUGCAUCACCUGUGCAUUGUGAGGGGAGUGGAGAAACAGCUGUGGUGGAGCAGAGUCAUUCAGGAAAAAAUCCUGGACCCAUGGGGUAAUGUCCAGGUGGUCCUCACCAACAAGGAG